AAUCUCUCUUCCACUUCUGUGUCAGAUGUCCUUGGACCAAGGAGUAGCAUGUGUUUCUAUCAAGGUGUAGCACAUACACCAACAAUGACUGAUGUGUUGGCUGUAAAAGGUACAGUAGAUCUGUUUGAGAAAAAAAUGAGGGAAAAACACUUGUUUUGUAUCUAAUCAAUUAUUAAUGAUUAAUAGAUUGUUGGCAUUUUAACUUUUGGUAAAGGAAAACACACAUCCAGCCCUAGUCUGGAGAAGUGACGGUGGUUAAAAGUAACUAAUACUCUGAGUAGUUUUUUUAUUUUUUUUACAAAUUGUACUUUUACUUGAGUAUUUCUCUAACACCAGUACUUUUACUUGUAACAGAGUAAUAUUUUAGCAAUGUAACAGUACUUGUACUUGAGUACAGAUUUUCAGUACUCUUUCCGCCUGUUAUGCACACAACACCUAAUUAGGCUCAUUCAUAAUGAAGCCAGCGGAGCAGUUAACGUUUGUUAAUUCUCUCAAUUUACGUAUUUUACUGUAUUUAAUUGUUAUUUGGUCAGGCAGUUCUUAGGACAUCUAUAAGGGGCCUGUAUGCAAAGGCCUUGUUUCGCGCUCAAAACGUUAGCAGUCCAUUCGGAAAGCACUGCUGCUAGCUGUGACUUCAAGGAGAACUUCUAUCAGACAUUCACAAAUUGAGGUGCACUGAAGAGUAAUGCAAUGACUCAAAAUGUGAAGUGGAAAUGGCGCUGUUGAAGUGGUUUACCGGCGCACGUGACCGUGGAGGGGAGAGGGCUGCAAGAGCCCAAAGAGAAAAAGGAGCGUCCACCACACAGACGCUGAAAAGACUCUUGCCAUCCCAUUCCCUUUGAACUCCGUUCCACUUUUUCAAAGAGGCUUUUGCCAUCUGCUGCCUGACCACGCCCACCUCACCUGUUGCCUAUAAAUUGAUUGUGAACCCUUUGGCUCAUUCUUUGCCGGCACUCCAAUGCAACCUGUGUGAGUCUUCAGGAGUUAACCACACAGUAAUUGCAAUGAAUCCACAUCACUCUGAAUGAUAAAUAAAAUACCACUGGUGCUGCCUUGAACCCUGCCUUCUCCCUGUUUCAUUCCUCACUCCAUACCACCUGAUGUCUUCUGACCGAGACUGUUUGCUCACCACACCUUCACUCCACCUGAACCAUUGCCAUCACCUUACAGUUCCUUCAGACGCCAUGAGUGUAUUUUGUAUUAAUGUAUUUUUUGGAGAGGUGAUUUUAUUAAAACAUUU